AAGUCGUAACAAGGUUUCCGUAGGUGAACCUGCGGAAGGAUCAUUAUUGAAUGAACUUGACUUGGUUGCUGCUGGUCUUUUCGAAGGCAUGUGCACACUUUGUCAUCUUUAUAUCUCCACCUGUGCACCUUUUGUAGACCUGAAACCAAAUUUCCGAGGCAACUCGGUCGUGAGGAAAUGCUUAACAGCUUUCCUUGUUAGGUUCCAGGGCUAUGUUUUCAUAUACACCAUAAGAAUGUAACAGAAUGUCAUUAUUAGGCUUAGUUGCCUUAUAAACUAUAUACAACUUUCAGCAACGGAUCUCUUGGCUCUC
rnacentral:misc_RNA from 1 species